rnacentral:rRNA from 1 species
UGGGGAAUCUUCCGCAAUGGACGCAAGUCUGACGGAGCAACGCCGCGUGAGUGAUGAAGGUUUUCGGAUCGUAAAGCUCUGUUGCCAGGGAAGAAAUUUCAGGAGAGUAACUGCUCUUGAAUUGACGGUACCUGAGAAGAAAGCCCCGGCUAACUACGUGCCAG